rnacentral:lncRNA from 1 species
AGCAGGUUAGGCUGGACUAGGAGUCAAAGAGGAUUCUGGGAAAUGUAGUAGAGAAAUGGUGUUCCAGACAGGAAGUGACAUAGCAAGGAGACUCAUAUUUAAGAAGAGGAAAAAGGAAGUGUCGCUCUCUUUCCCCUCGGCUCCUGCUCCAGCGGCACGAUGUGAUCCACCAGCUAGGAGGGACGCCAAUAAGGCGUCUGAUAAGAUAAAAAAUCAGAAGCUGUGGAUUCCUUCCAGACUAAUAUGGUUUGAUCAAGCAAGACCCCCUGAAGCUGAGAUGAUACAGCCUUACAGACUAUAAAAACAAGGACUUGGUCAGGUUUCUAUGUUUUAUCAUGAUCCUAAUGGUAUAUGAACAUCGCCCCCAAUCAGCAGGAAGCAGUUUAGAAAGAACGACGCCCAUAUUCCCAAGUAUUGUUUAUAAAUGUUUUUUUCAUUUAAAUGAGACAGAAAAGAAGAGAUGAUGGGGGAAAUAUUUCUGUGUAUGUUUAUAAAUAAAGUACUUGCUUGGCCAAUGUAACAGCAGGUUAGGCUGGACUAGGAGUCAAAGAGGAUUCUGGGAAAUGUAGUAGAGAAAUGGUGUUCCAGACAGGAAGUGACAUAGCAAGGAGACUCAUAUUUAAGAAGAGGAAAAAGGAAGUGUCGCUCUCUUUCCCCUCGGCUCCUGCUCCAGCGGCACGAUGUGAUCCACCAGCUAGGAGGGACGCCAAUAAGGCGUCUGAUAAGAUAAGUCUUAUAAAAUAUAUAGAUGUAUGAUAAUUGAUACUGAGCUAACAGAUGAGAAUCCUAGUCAUUGGCCAAGCAGCAUUGUACCUAAUACAAGUCUCUCUGUGUAUUCAUUUGGGCCUAACUUGGGCAGGUGGCUGGCGUAAAGCUUACACGUGGCAAUGGG